UUAAGCGGUGAAUUGGUGACAGAAGAGUUUUUGAGUUAAGGGUGAUGAUUGCACUUGUCAAUGAGCUAGCCAUCCAGGAGUAUUAGAUGCGGAUGGGAGUUGGACAGGGUCAUUAUAAUCCUGUAGUUGUGCAGGAGUGCUGGUGAUGUGGUUCUUGUGAGUGUCAGCCACUUGGGUAAUUAAUUAUAGUGAAAAGAAUAAAAUCCCACUUGCUUCCAAAUGAUCUUAAAUGAAGCACCAGCAGCUAGAUAUGCAUCUACUGACUGUUCAUUUACAUUUUUAUGGUCCAUAUGCAUAUAAUUUGAUAAGCUUCUUUUACUGUCUGUCUACUGUCUAACAUUACCAUAUUCUUUCACUGCAGAGUAUAAGCAGCGAUCAUACAGGUCUUGUACAUAAAAAAGAUUCCUCCAAAAACCUCAGCAAAAAGGAACACCUUGCUGUCCAGAAAGGCACAACACAUCAGCCAUGGAAACAACACAACCAAACCAAUCCCUAAUACUGAAGCUGCAAAGUAAAUGGAAGUCAUCAUCAGGAAAUGCGUUGACAGAAUGAAAUGAAUGGAGGAAGAAGGGAACAAGUUCAACCAUGUUGGCAGAUGUGUUCUCGUAUGCUCUCUCGAUCUCUCCUACAAGAUCAUUAAUUGUAGGGCGUCCUUUGCUCGAACUGGCGACACAGAGAACGGCAAUAUUUAAGAUGGACUUGAAAACUUCCAAAUUUAGCUCUCCUUCAAGGCGCGGAUCUACAAAAUCUUCGAGUGGGCGUUUGCCUGCCGAGACAUCCUUGGCCUGCAUCAUGCACCACAAUAGAAUUCAAACAUGAAGAUCUUGCUGAGACUUCUGGGGUAUUACUAUCGAUUUGGUGGCUACCUUUCUUGUCAGAGUUUCUCGUGCUUUUGUGUCCAGUUCAAUCACCUUACGCCCUGAUAGAAGCUGCAAUAUGACUACACCGAAGCUGUAGAUGUCACUGGCACAGGAGAGGUUUCCAUGGGACAUGUACUCCGGAUCCAUAUAGCCAAUGGUUCCUCUAACCUCUGUGAAGCAUUUUGUUUCCUUCAUUCCCACCAUCCUCGCCAACCCAAAGUCCGAAAGCUUUGGCUCCAUGUUGUCCAUCAGCAGGAUGUUUGCGAGCUGAAAACCAUGUAUCAUCAAUGAAAGACGAUGAACUGAUACAAAGUUAUGGGUCAACUUCUCACCUUGAUGUCUCUGUGAACGAUACAGCCAUCUGGGUGAGUGUGGAGAAACCUUAACGCAAGGGAACAGUCUCUUAGGAUCUUCACCCUCUUCCCCCAUGGAAGAAGAGCAUCACUUCCUACAGUAACCAAGGAGGGAGACCAGAUUGGGAUGACGAACUUUGGAGAGGCCUUCGACUUCUCUCGUGAAGGAGCCAUUCAUAGCAGUCUUGUAGAGGUGCUUGAUUGCAACGAGCUGCCCGCUGGGAAGAAUGCCUUGGUAGACUUGGCCUGCACUUCCAGUGCCGAGGCGUAUUCUGCUGCUGCUGUAGUUUAUGGCUUUCUCAAUCUCUGCUUUGGAGAAUCUGUAAAGACCAGACCAUUUGCUUGCUACUUUCCCUGGUGCAGUAGUAGUGCCUUGAAAACAUCUGUGUUAGUGUGAUUGCUUGUGUAAGCAUCGAGCUCAAAUGCACAGGGAGAAUACCUUUGUUGUGUUCACGAGUCCUUUUCCUAGCCUUGAACAAAGUAAUGAGAAGAAACAAUCCGAUCAAACCCAGUAGUGUUC